rnacentral:rRNA from 1 species
GACGAACGCUGGCGGCGUGCUUAACACAUGCAAGUCGAACGCUGAAGCUCAGCUUUUGUUGGGUGGAUGAGUGGCGAACGGGUGAGUAACACGUGAGUAACCUGCCCCCUUCUUUGGGAUAACGCCCGGAAACGGGUGCUAAUACUGGAUAUUCACUGGUCUUCGCAUGGGGGCUGGUGGAAAGGGUUUUUCUGGUGGGGGAUGGGCUCGCGGCCUAUCAGCUUGUUGGUGGGGUGAUGGCCUACCAAGGCUUUGACGGGUAGCCGGCCUGAGAGGGUGACCGGUAACAUUGGGACUGAGAUACGGCCCAGACUUCUACGGGAGGCAGCAGUGGGGAAUAUUGCACAAUGGGCGCAAGCCUGAUGCAGCGACGCCGCGUGAGGGAUGGAGGCCUUCGGGUUGUGAACCUCUUUCGCUCAUGGUCAAGCCGCAACAAUGGUUGUGGUGAGGGUAGUGGGUAAAGAAGCGCCGGCUAACUACGUG